GUCUGGGAAACUGCCUGAUGGAGGGGGAUAACUACUGGAAACGGUGGCUAAUACCGCAUAACGUCGCAAGACCAAAGAGGGGGACCUUCGGGCCUCUUGCCAUCAGAUGUGCCCAGAUGGGAUUAGCUUGUUGGUGAGGUAACGGCUCACCAAGGCGACGAUCCCUAGCUGGUCUGAGAGGAUGACCAGCCACACUGGAACUGAGACACGGUCCAGACUCCUACGGGAGGCAGCAGUGGGGAAUAUUGCACAAUGGGCGCAAGCCUGAUGCAGCCAUGCCGCGUGUAUGAAGAAGGCCUUCGGGUUGUAAAGUACUUUCAGCGGGGAGGAAGGUGUUGUGGUUAAUAACCGCAGCAAUUGACGUUACCCGCAGAAGAAGCACCGGCUAACUCCGUGCCAGCAGCCGCGGUAAUACGGAGGGUGCAAGCGUUAAUCGGAAUUACUGGGCGUAAAGCGCACGCAGGCGG
rnacentral:rRNA from 1 species